rfam:Rattus norvegicus chromosome 10, whole genome shotgun sequence.
GGGGAUUUAGCUCAGCGGUAGAGCGCUUGCCUAGCGAGCGCAAGGCCCUGGGUUCGAUCCCCAGCUCCG